AUGGCUAGUAUUGACAAGGUGUUCAUUACUACCUGUUGGGAAACUAUUUUCCCAGCUGUUCAACUCACAGCUCUUCCUAGAGUGGGUAGUGACCACACCCCUCUAGUGGUAGAUACUGGUGCUAUCCAACCACCAAAGAACAAACAAUUUAGGUUUGAAAAAUGGUGGUUGGAAGUUGUAGGUUUUGAUGACAUGGUUAAAAAAUGCUGGAACUCUCCAUGUCCUAUUAAGGACCCUUUAGAUAGAUGGCAAUAUAAGAUCAGAUUACUGAGGAAGAUGUGUAAAGGCUGGAAUGCCAAUUAUGAGGCUGACUAG
rnacentral:rRNA from 1 species